rnacentral:rRNA from 1 species
AACGUAGGAGACAAACGUUAUCCGGAGUUACUGGGCGUAAAGGGCGUGUAGGUGGUUUCGUAAGUCUGGCGUGAAAUUUUUCGGCUUAAGCGGGAAAGGUCGUCGGAUACUGCGGGACUAGAGGACGGUAGAGGCGUGUGGAAUUCCGGGUGUAGUGGUGAAAUGCGUAGAGAUGUGGAGGAACACCGAUGGCGAAGGCAGCCCCCUGGGUUAACACUGACGCUCAGGCACGAAAGCGUGGGGAGCAAACAGG